GAUGAACGCUAGCGGCAGGCUUAACACAUGCAAGUCGAGGGGUAACAGGGAGAAGCUUGCUUUUCCGCUGACGACCGGCGCACGGGUGCGUAACGCGUAUAGAACCUACCUUUUACAGGAGAAUACCCCAGAGAAAUUUGGAAUAAUGCUCCAUAGUAUUAUUAGAUGGCAUCAUUUAGUAAUUAAACAUUUAUGGGUAAAAGAUGGCUAUGCGUUCUAUUAGCUAGAUGGUAAGGUAACGGCUUACCAUGGCAACGAUAGAUAGGGGUCCUGAGAGGGAGAUCCCCCACACUGGUACUGAGACACGGACCAGACUCCUACGGGAGGCAGCAGUGAGGAAUAUUGGACAAUGGAGGCAACUCUGAUCCAGCCAUGCCGCGUGCAGGAAGACGGCCCUAUGGGUUGUAAACUGCUUUUAUAUAGGAAGAAACCUUUCCACGUGUGGAAAGCUGACGGUACUGUAUGAAUAAGCACCGGCUAACUCCGUGCCAGCAGCCGCGGUAAUACGGAGGGUGCAAGCGUUAUCCGGAAUCAUUGGGUUUAAAGGGUCCGUAGGCGGACUAAUAAGUCAGGGGUGAAAUACCACAGCUCAACUGUGGAACUGCCUUUGAUACUGUUAGUCUUGAAUUAUAUGGAAGUAGAUAGAAUGUGUAGUGUAGCGGUGAAAUGCUUAGAGAUUACACAGAAUACCGAUUGCGAAGGCAGUCUACUACGUAUAUAUG
rnacentral:rRNA from 1 species